rnacentral:lncRNA from 1 species
GCUGUGGCAGCGCUUCCUGUUCAUUCUGCUGCUGGUUUUUGUCGGAUCAUGGCAGGACCCCCGGUGACAUCAGGGGGAGCUUUCAGUUGUAUUUGCAUCAACAGGCUCCUCCCACUGGUGGUUAACCCUUGAUAGACUCACCCCUCCCCAAGGGGGUGGAGUCACGCUCUGUUUUAUCCAAUGCCUAAGCCAAUACCUCUCACAUGCUGUAAUCGAUAUAGUUGUGGCCUUUUUUAGUCCAUUAACCUAAUAUACUGUGUCCAUGUGUCUUUCUUAUUCUCAAGCGGCUGGCGGGUCCUUGAAUCACAACUGCAAAUGAGGUGGAGAAACACUGCAACAUAUUCAGGAACAUUUGCUAUCUGGAUAGGCAUCACCACCAGUCGCUACUGCACACUGGGAUGGAGAGGCCCAGGGGCAAGGCAUCAGUGUGGUGCAACUUCCGGCUAUAGAACUGGAAUGUAUGUAGCCAUGACUCAGCCAGAGGGAGGUCAGGUAAGUGAUGCAGCCCUGCCGUGCUGUCCAUCGCUGCAUGCAAGGCCAAAUUUUAUGUGAAUAAUCUCUAGUUUGGCCCCUAAUAGGAGGUGCAAAGGGACGCGGGUGGUGCUGUGGUCUAAACCACAGAGCCUAGGAUUUGCCAAUCUGAAGGUUAGCGUUUCGAAUCCCCGUGACGGGGUGAGCUCCCGUUGCUUGGUCCCUUCUCCUGCCAACCUAGCAGUUUGAAAGCACAAAGUGCAAGUAGAUAAAUAGGUACCGCUCCGGUGGGAAGGUAAAUGGCGUUUCGUUGCACUGCUCUGGUUUGCCAGAAGCAGCUUAGUCAUGCUGGCCACAUGACCCGGAAGCUGUACGCCGGCUCCCUCGGCCAAUAAAGCAAGAUGAGCACCACAACCCCAGAGUCAUCCGUGACUGGACCUAAUGGUCAGGGGUCCCUUUACCUUUACCUUUAGGAGGUGCAAAAAAGCGUUUUAGUGGGAAUUUUGCAAGAGGGAGGCCGAAAGGCCCCACAGGCUGGGGAUUUAUCCUUGCCCUGGACGUGGGGCCAAGCACUGCUAUUGGUCAGUUGGUCCUAUGCCCAGGGGGAUGCUCUCUGGUUCCUGCCGCCAUCGGUCAAUUUGGCGGCAGAAGGCCGAUCCGGCCUGCAAUAGGCCAGUUCACAGAGGAGGCCUGGGACCUGCUGCACUCUUCACUUGUGAUUCUCAGGAACUGGUAUUCAGAGGUAUACUGCCUCAGACAAUGGAAGCAGCCAAACAAACAUUUAUUGAACUGGUAUAUAUUUUACAACCUAUUUGGUAAGUCCGCCUAUCCUUAAACAAAACAAAGGUGUUGCAUAUUCACCUGAAUUCUUAUUUCCUUUGCAGAUUUGAAUCUCCCUGUCUCAAAGCUGAAAGAAGUCACUGGAGCAACAGCAGAAAAAAACACACAAAUUGAUUCCUUGUAUUAUCUUGUGCAAAUCAAUAUAGAGGAGAUGUAUCUCCCCCUCAUUUAAUUCUGUUUUCUUUCUAAAGGUCAGCUUUUGAAAUGAAUGUGAAUUCUUUCUCAUCUGACUAUAAUUAUUUAAGGCUUAACAACAAAUCUAUUCUUACAGUCUCUUUUGUCUUGGGUUUGAAUUGCUUGCUGUUAAAUGAAUUGCUUAUCAGGUUUCUUUUUUCUUGUUCUGCAAAUCAUAUGCGCACUGCUGUCAGACUCCUGUCUAUUAAUUGGUGGAACUGAGAUCUGAAUGCAGAUGGUAAACCUAUUAAUAAAUGAUGGUUGGGGAAAUACUUAUUGAUUCAUACAGGAAAAAUUAUAUAUACAUACUUCUGCAUCGUUUUGGAUAAUGUGGGAUUUUAAUCCUUCAUUGAUUUUUCUUUAUUUGCAAAUUAAGCUUAAAAUACGUAUGCUGUAAUAGAAAAAAAAAUUGCCCUGGGUUGCAGUUGCUCAGUUUUGAGGAAUAAAACAUACCAACAAUGUUCUCAUUAAGGCGGCAAAUUAAACAAUAGUGAGAUCGAGCAUGUUUUGACUUUUGCACAGAUAUAGAUCCAAUUUGUUUAUUACAUUUAGGCUGCAAACUCACCACACACUUAAAGUUUCCCUUGAAACCAAGGAUUGCAGUUUGUUAAAGGUGUUGAGAAUUGUAGCUCUAUGAAAGGUAAACGGCAGUUCCCAGGAUUCUCUCUCCCCCUCCGUCUGUGUGUAUGAGAGACAGCAUCCUUUAAAUGUGUUUUCAAUAUAUGCUGUGUACACAGCCUUAUACCCCUUAUGUUCCGUCCAAUGACCUCAAGAAGGCAUACAGGCUACUUUCCCCACUCUCAGUUUUAACCACCACAGGUAUUCUGUGAGGUAUGUUCAGCUGAGAGAUGAUGACUGCUCCAGGAUUCCCAGAUCAGUUUUAUAUUUGAGUGGAAAUUUGAACCCUGACCUCCUCAGUCCUUAUCUGACUCUCUGACCACCAUGAAACAUAAACAUAUUGGGUUGUAUCCAACUAAGUUGUCCCACUAAUGCAAGGACUUCGGCCUGUGCAGUGGGACUCCCUCUCUCUGUAUAACCCCCACCCUAAGUCUGAUAGGGAGGGUUGAGGGGAAACCCAAAAAUGAUGUUUCUGGAGAGGGGUGCGCUUGUGAGUUGAAGGUGCUCUGUAUGUGUGCUAUUUUAAUAGUAAAAUAAUUACACAGUAGACAAAUGGGAAACCUUUCAGGCAGUCUAGCAGUUUUCCUCUGGUUUCUGGCUCUGAUACUUUGAGUUAGAAACAAAAUGGUAGCUGUAGCAACUGAAUGUGCGUAAGGGUUUAAGACUCCUCUUGGUCAGUCUUUUGUACGGUUGGAAUAUUCCCCCUAUCAUCUUGCUCUAGCCGCUCCUCAGUGUGGGUUUCUGUGACAUGAUACAAACUCAAGAAAUAAUUGGUCACAAUGCAAAACUAUAGUUACUUGGGGUAUUAGAAUCAAUACCAUUCGGCAAGUCAUGGUUUGUGAGUGACCAGCAAGCAGGAACUGAUAUUAUGGUUUGAAGUUGCUUGAUAUUACAAACCAAACCGUUGUUUUUGGGACCUUAAAGGCCACUUUUGGGGAUAGCAUCAAGGGGACGUGGGAAACCAUGGUUUGUCUGUAUGCCUAAAACACAAAUCAUGGUUUGGUAUCCACAGUUGGUUCAAAGCACAAUUUUGUGUUGCAUCUAAACCACCAGUUUUUAAUAGGUUACAUUUCAGUGGGAUCUGCCCAGCUAUAGGUGCAAUCCUACACUGUGGAGACGUAAAACAUAAGAUUUGUUCUGGUGAGGUACAGUUCUCUUUCAAAGAAGAUUAGCUUUUCAAAUGAGAUUAGCGGUUUUAAGCCUGAUCUCUGCCUGCAAAGUAAAGAUAUCAUUUCUGAAGCUACAGGCCUUCUGCAUGAGGAAUUUACACAGAAUUCUCAUGUUAGAAAUGAAGAAGCCCUGGAAGCCGUACAUGCUGAAAAUAGAAAUCACUGUGACCCCCCCUCAGUAAAGCUGCCCCUCAGAAUGCAUUUUUGUUUUGUUUAGAUUGAGCCUUAUCACUCUUGAAAGUGAGCUCUGUCACUGCUAGAGACCUGCACCGAUAAGGCUGCAGAGACUCUUGUGCUAAAAAAGAAAUAAAGAAAUCAGCACAAGAAAUCUGCAGAAGGGAGAUAGGCCAGGCCAGAAAGCAGAUACCAUCAGCUCCUGACAGAACCAUCAACAGCCUGAGAGAACUGUUGGGUCAGCCCCUCUCUCUUUCCCUCUCUGGGCCUACUUACACCUGCUUACUCUGUCUCCAGUGCAAGCCAAGCAUACCCUCCAACAUUUUUCUGAUGAAAAUGGGAACGUCCUACUGUAUUCCAUAAUCAUAUUAUUAAUAAUAAUUUUACUAUUUAUAACCUGCCCGUCUGACUGGGUUGCCCCAGCCACUCUGGGCGGCUUCCAACAUAUAUGAAAGCCUAAUAAAACAUUAAGCAUUAAAAAAACUUCCCUAUACAUGGCUGCCUUCAGAUGGCUUGGGGACUGGAUAACUCCAUACCCUCCAACAUUUCUCUGAUGAAAAUAGGGAAGUCCUAAGGAAAAGUGGGACAUUCCGGGACCAAAACAGAAACCGGGACAGCUUCUAUAAAACCGGGACUAUCCCUGGAAAUUAGGGACACUUGCAGGGUCUGCAACUGCUGAUUUGGGAAGCAGUAUAUACACAAGGUUCUUAUGAAAUGCUGCAUUUUGCUGCAUUUUCCCCCCAUCUUUGAUCUGAACUGAGAAAAAGAACAACCUGUGUUUUAAGCCCGUAAUGUGUACAAAGUCUGCAAUGCGUACAAAGUCAAAAUGUCUUGAGGGAAGGCAGAAGGAAGGGAGACCAGGCCAGGGGAACAUGUGCCAUCAACUGGCAAAUGGGAAGCAAUGCUGGGCUCCUCCUACCCUUCUUCCCAAUGUACAGUAGAUGUUUAUUCCCACCCCCCUUGUUCCUGAUGUAGAUCUUCAAUCACCCCUUCUCUGGAAGAAAAACAAAUUUAUGCACUUCUAUCAUGUUGCCUCUUACUUGCCUUUUCUCUAAAUUACGAAUCCCCAAAUGUUGUCAUCUUUCCUCACAGGGGAGUCGUUCCAUCUCCUUCAGCCAUUUCAAGUUCUCGGUGAAAUCAGAUGAACAGUAGUUACAAACCAGUAGCCAUACAUUGUGGGAGGGAUUCAAGUUUAGGUUUGCAAAGUUAAGUGAGUUCAAGUGCUCUGCUGUCCUAGCACAACAAAUCCACUUUUAAAAAAAAGAAUUGGUCUUUUUGCAGCUAGGGAAGUGAUGGAGAAAGGCAUUGAAAAAUGUGUAAUAAACAAAUCACUAAUGGGAAGAUGUAUAAGGAUCUUGCAAUUAAGACCAAGUAUAAUCUAACCUUUGCAUAAUCUUUGUGUGAGCAAACCAUGCUGAAUAAACAGGUCUUUUUGAAUAGCCCUUUGCUGCAAACUCUCCAUGGACCCCUCCUUUGAUACUGUGUCUUAUUUAGGUGUCAUAAUUCUGUUGUGACUUUAUCAGAGUCUCGAGUCCAAAAGAAAGGGAAAUUUGUUUGGAAGACCAUUACAUAACUGAGUGUGGUUGGGGUAUGCGAAUGGGUAAAGCAGCUGGGAUCUGUGACGGAACCUUUGUGAUCCUGCUGUGAUCAUCCUCUCCUAUAUGGAAUUUUAUAAUUGGAAUUGUAGGAAAAACAUAAAUUAAAAUGAUGACAAAUGAUUUACCUCGCCUUUUAUGUUGUUGCUUCCUGGAGUUUUAUAUCAUGGCUGUGCAAAAGCUCUAUUUACCAAACAGUGGGUAGCCUGUGCCCAUUAAAGUAAUAAUCCUAUGUACUUUUUUUUUGUUUUGUUUAAAAAUUAAUUUUCCCUCAUGAAAUUGGAGACCUUGCAUAGUAACAAUAUGACCUUUUAAAAUUAACUCACUUUUUCUUACGUCUUUGUUUGUUUGUUUGUUCUUUGAGUUUGCACUUUAGGAUUUCUAAGGAAUAAGUAAUCCUAAUCUUGAAUCCUGUUGAUGAAAACUAUAUUAUGGAAAUGUCUGAAUCACUUACUGUGAUACGUAGAUCAAAGAUUGGGCAAAGUGCUAUGAAUAGCGAAUGCUGGAAUUUACUUUAAACCUGUCACAGGCCAGCUGGCAAACAGAAUGGCCCGAAUCUGUGACUGUGAGGAAUAACUGAAAUUUUGAAAAGUUGUACUAGAGAAACCCAUUUUGGCUGAGAACAACGGUCCUCCCUCAUCCCCAGGGAAAAUGUACUUUACCACUGUGGGACUGGAGCAGAAAUAUUUAAUAGAAGAUAGAUAAAUAGAUGAAAUGAUAAAACAUUAUCUAAGAUUAAUCAAAGGAUCAUUAGGCAAGUAUCUCAACACUGAAGAAGUAC